rnacentral:rRNA from 1 species
ACUCAAAUGAAUUGACGGGGGCCCGCACAAGCAGCGGAGCAUGUGGUUUAAUUCGAAGCAACGCGAAGAACCUUACCAGGUCUUGACAUCCAGUUAAAGCCGUAGAGAUACGGUGUGCCCUUCGGGGCGAACUGAGACAGGUGGUGCAUGGUUGUCGUCAGCUCGUGUCGUGAGAUGUUGGGUUAAGUCCCGCAACGAGCGCAACCCUUAUUUUUAGUUACUAACGGGUAAAGCCGAGGACUCUAAAGAGACUGCCGGGGACAACUCGGAGGAAGGUGGGGACGACGUCAAAUCAUCAUGCCCCUUAUGACCUGGGCUACACACGUGCUACAAUGGCCACUACAGAGAGGAGCGAGCCCGAGAGGGGGAGCGGAUCUGAUAAAAGUGGUCCCAGUUCAGAUUGUGGGCUGCAACCCGCCCACAUGAAGUCGGAGUUGCUAGUAAUCGCGGAUCAGCAUGCCGCGGUGAAUACGUUCCCGGGCCUUGUACACACCGCCCGU